CCUCCUCCCCCAUCAGCCCUCAGUUUGUUCUCAGUUUGUGCCUUCCUUCCUCUCCUGAACUGUUUUCCCCUUUCUUUAGAUAAAUAGCAGCAUAUGUUAAUCUUUAUUAUAAAACCUUCUUUUCCCCCUUAGUCUGGUUUGGGUUUCUGAUCAAGGCAUUUAGAGCCACUUUCUGCUUUUUUUCCUUUUUUAGGCCUCUGUGGCAACUAAUAGUUCCUAAUCUUUUACUGCUACAAGUAAUGCUAUAGUAAAUAAUCUCUGACGUGUCACUUCACAUUUGGUGAGAAAUAUCUGAAGGUUAAAUUCCUAGAAGAUUCAAAGAAUAAGAGCUUUUAUAAUUUUGAAAGACAUUGCCAUAUUCUCCUCCUCAGAAGUUGUGUCAGUUUCCGCCCCGUCAGCUGUGUGUGAGUGCCUCUUUCAUCAGAUGCUUGCCAACGAGGUGUCUUAAAUGUUUUGAUCCUUGCCAAUCUGACAAGUUUUAAAAAAGUAUCUCAGUGUGGCUUUAAUUUGCAUUUCUUUUAUCAUGAAUGAAGGUCAGAAUAUUUUCACAAUGUAAGACCUAUGUAUUUUUGUUUGCUGUAAACAACUAGUAGAGUGACCUAGAGCAAACUGUUUAAACUCUUGAGUGUCUCCGUUUCCUCAGCUGUAAAUUAGGAAUAAAAAUAGUAAGUAGGAUUGUUGGAUGACUAAAUGAAAUUUGUGUGCGGCACUCAACACAGUGUCUGGCACACAACAGGCAGUCAGUAGGUCGCUGUGGGGCGGCUGGCAGGGCAGCUGCUGGGACAGGACGGAUUAAAUUAAGGUAGCAUUCGUCCCUGUGUCUUCCAGCACGUGGAGUCUCAUCAUUUACAUUGCCUUACAUCUGACAAAUGCAAAGACAGAGCUUUCCUUGUGUCAGAAGGAGGGACCUUUUCCCAUUGGAUCCCAAGCAUAGGCUAUUGGCAGAGCUGGCAAGACGGUAGGCACAGCCUCAUGUCUAAUAUGUAGACAGCCAACAUGAUAAGGAAAUUUAGUUUAAUAGGAAAUAAAAACAACAAAAACAGAAAAGCCCAGAUGUGCAUCUUUUUAUUCCACCAUGGUUUUAAACUCCCGGCUAGCCAAGGUUGGAGUGGGUCUCUCCUUGUAAACUGAGAGGGAGACCAGCCAUCCCAUUUUUGACAGAAAGGUGGCAGGGGCAUCUGAGAAUAGAAAAACAACACUGGAAACCUGGCUUCCCCUACAGAACACUGCACUGCAGCUCACAAGCUAGAAAACAGACCCCUUUAUUUUUAGUACCUUAAAACUGGUAUCCACAAAAGGAGAACCUAGGAGAGAUCUGUUUCCUGUAACAAGCAGUGUGUAUUUAAUACAGGUCUUCGGAGAUGGGCGCCCUUGCUGUCCUGCGGCAGCCCUUGCUGGGGUGCAUGUGAGCUAUCAUGGGUAGAUGGUGAGUGUUUGCCCGGAGCUACCAAACAUUUUCUUUAGACUUGUUGAAAGUCUUGGCUCCCCCUCUUAACAACCCCCAUAUUUUUCAGAUUGCCCUCAUGCUGCUUUCUCAGGCUCCCUGUUCCCCUUCACUUGUGUCUCUUACACUCAGCACGCUGGUAUCAGUCUUGGUCCUCUGAGAUGAGCGCAUCUUCUGCCCGUCCUGGGGCCACAGAACUGCAACUGGACGGAGAGCUGGCAAAAUCUGGCCCAGAUGGGAUUGGCUGAGUGGGAGGCAGCCUUGGAGUCACUCCCUAAACUUCCCCCAAUCCUUUUUUGCUCAAGAGAUACUGAAGGACCACCCCUGGGCAGAUGUAACCUCUGACCCAGUUGUGGAAUCAGGAUGUUCUGUGGAUCAUGGCUGGGAAAGGGUAUCUGCAAUGUGAGGCCGAAUGACCUUGCAUGUUUGCACAGCUUGAGGGGGUGGAUGAGGGCCAUCCUUUAGUAAGCGUCCAUAGUAAGGCCAGGACAGAUGGCAGACUGGUCCUCAUGGCCAGUGGCUGAAGCUUUAAAGCAUUUGGUGGUGUUUGAGCCAAGCAAGGGCAUGGCAGCAUGAAGGCAGUGACAAGCUCACAGCCAGGGCCUAAGCUGGGACAGAUGAAAAGCAGGCUGGGUGGCUAGGAGCUGGGCUGCAGGGCCUUCUGCCUGCUUCCUCAUGGUGUCUUCCCAGCUACGAAAGCCUCCUCAAGACCCCUGCCUGUGUGGCCGGGGUCCAUUUCCAGGUAGUUGACAACACUGAGCCCUCACUGCUACUCCUUGGCAGUACAGUGUGGGGGGCCUGCCUCGGCCACAUAACCUGGGGAGCAAUGGCAGCGGUAGGAGCCCUCGGUGUUCUCGCAGUGACCGUGGGCACAGAGUGCAGCAGGCCCGUUCAAGUCAUCACACUCAUUGACAUCUAAGGAAGGGAAGAAAGAGGGAGCUGUAGGGAACCCAGGUGCCUCUGGCCUGGGCUCACGAAGCCCCAGCCCCUGCCGUGCAGUGGACUCCUACAUGUGGUGGCCAGGAGCUGAGGUCAGUGCCCCAAACUAAGCAACUCAGAGACACAAAGUGAACCCAUCCUGUGCCCCUGGACAGUGUGGCCAUGCUCUCUUGUCCUUGCCUUUUUUCUGUCUAGGAACCUCCCUGGAAAGGGCUUUCUACACACAACAGGACACCUUCCUUUGGUGCUCUCACCACUUGGCCUGGUUCCAGACAAACCCGCUAGGGGGCAGCAGUGGCUUUUCCCCUCUCAAGUUCAGUCUUGUAUUCUUAAGUGAUUGGUGGGACACUUUCCGCCUGGAGCCAGCAGGGCCAACCUGCUCCACUUACCCACGCAGGCCAUGUGGGUCAUGUCCAGCUGGAAGCCCUCGAAGCAGUCACAGGUGUAGCCCUCCCUCACUCGCACACAGCGGCCGUUCUCACAGCCGUUCAGGAUGCCGCAUUCCUCUGCCUGAAGCCCUUCAAAGCCAGCCUGGUGCUCUGGUAGGAGGGAGUCAGAAGGACACUGAGGCCUUGUGCCCAGCCUUGGGACCGUCACUCUCCACUAUGAAGGGUUGCUCCUUUUGAAAUCCUAAGGUCAGGGUUUCAAAAGGGUUUACCCUCAUAGAAAGAUGCUAAAACAAAAGGCACUACCCUUAAGAUAAGAAUUAUGGAGACAUGCUGUACUUUAAACGUUAGCUCCAGGAAGGUUGAGACUCCUUGCUUUCACAGUGCUAGUGUUCCCGAGCAGGUGGAUGUCUGUGGUUUUGGUUUUGGUUUUAUGGUUGGUGGUGGUUAAAAUCUUUAGAUGGUUUUUUGUGGCGAGGAGGUUGGCAGCAAAAGGGGAUCACCCUCACUCAACAGAAAGCAAAACUUAGGGAUCUGCUUAACCCUCUCCUCUAAGCAGGUCCCAACCCCUGCGAAAGACCGUGUCCCUGACCCCCGAGAAGUCUUCGUCUGGUGCAGGGGUGGUGCCUGGGGCAGCCACCACAUCCGCUGCCCAGGUGCCAGGCCUGACGUCUUCAUUAGAACCCAAGUCCUACGUGCUGGGGGUCCGUGCCAUGUACAAACCAAGUCAUCAUAAUGGGCCUUUAACGUGACUAGAAAUCCUUAGCGCACAUUUCAGGUCACAAGUGUGAGCUUGUAGACCAGGUUGUUCUGCACUGUGGGUGGUGUGGAGGGAGAAAAACAGACCGGAGGGUACCUGCUUCCUCUCCCACAGAGAAGUUUUUGAGGUUGGGAUGGUGUCCUGUCCUGUACCUCUCUGGUUCAUCAGAGUUGUUCAGCUCUGACCCAAGCAUUUGGAGUUGUCCCUUGAGUGACCUGCGAGAGGGCUGGCUGGGUCUUUUCCCUCCCCGCCCCUCACCCUGCUGGCAGUGAUUAGUAGGUGAUUAGUGAGGAGAUGGAAGUGAAACCAUUUUGGUGCCUGCCAUUUCCCCAUCUUUGCAGCAACACAGACCUGGAUGGCUGGCCACGUAGUGGGGCUGGAGUUCUGAGGGCUGCAGGGGGGACUCAAGUAUUGGUAUGUGGUCCCCUGGGCGGCUGGCUGUGUUGGGGAAGGGUGCCUCUGGGAUGGUGUCCUCAGGACCCAGGUAGUUGUAGAAGGGCGCCCCGUCCGGGCCAUAGAGGCUGUAGUGCAGGUCCUCGGGCCCAGGGCCAUACUCAUAGCCUGGCCGGAAGUGGACCCCAGCCUCGCGCUCGGCUUCAAUCCGGGCCACAUUGCACAGCUGAGCGUAGACCUCUGUCAGGGGAGAGGGAGAAGACGCUGCCAGGUUCCUGGUAGCUAAAGCCUGGCAUGUGGUUCCCAGGCUCAUUUCCCAGGGGGCGCAUGCUGGGACUGGUGUCCUCUGGGAGUUCUGGACAGAGCUCUUCUCACCACCCUACCCCCUGCUCCACUUUGUCCCCAAACAAUAGGGAUGGAAGAUGGCCACACUCUGAUUACUCUACUCCUAAAUCCCUCCUUCCAAGAUGAGGGCCUUCCCUUCCCUGGGGCCGGUCCCCCUGUGUAGGCAUGAGUCACGCUUCUCACCAGAGCUCCUGGGGGGGCACAGGGCACACUGCUGGCUCCAGGCCUCGCCAUCUUGGCAGCAGCAUUCUGUGUAGGUGGUGCGGCGCCCGUGCAGGGGUUGGCUGCACACAUAAUUGGUGACUCUCUUCCAGCAGAUGUCCAUGUGGAUGUCGUGGUCAGGCAGGUCCUCUGGGGGCACAGUGCACAGAGGCACAUGAGCCCCCCAGCCCAGAUGCAGUUGCCCCUGCCGCCCCACCACUCCAGCCUACUGACCCGUGCCGCCGGUGCUGUUCACGCAGCGCUGCUGGCCCAGGUCCAGGGUGAGUGGGGGGCUGCAGAAGCAGUGGAAAGAGCCUUCAGUGUUCACACACUCACCGUUCUCACAGGCCAUGUCCUGGCAUUCGUCGUGAUCUGUGGUGGCAGAAAGGUGGAAGGGAUAUAUGGGGCAGUGCCAAGGCAGCCUGCCCACGGACUGUCUUCAUGGAAGGGGAUUUUCUUGUAACUGAUACUGCUUCCCCCUCCUCCCCUGACCCAGCCCAGUCUCGGGGCUGGCCUCCCCAGGGAUACCUUUCCAACAGGUGUCCAGCUCCCCUCACCUCAGAGCUGCCUGCUGCAGUGGGAACUCCCAGCAGGAAAGGAGCUGGCUGGUGAGGCCAGGUGAGCACUCAGCUGUGGGUGCGGGGUGGGGAGGGGUGGUGUGUGUCCUCACCUUCACACUUCCUGUGGACAGCAUUGUAGUGGUAGCCGGGAUUGCACAGGCAGAUGUAGCCAGGCACCGUGUUGAGGCACCGGCCGUUCUGGCAGAGCCCAGGCCCGAACAUCGCACACUCGUCCGCAUCUGUGGGAGGGCAGAGCUGAGGUGAGCAGCAGUACAAAGCAGAACUCGGUUGUAAGGGUUCCAAAGCCAGACUUGCUGGGUUUGAGUCCUGGCGCUGCUGCUUCUAGUCAGGGGACUUUGGGCAACCUGCUUAAGUUCUCCUUACCUCAGUUUCCUACCUAAAAAUAUGUGGAUACUAUUACUUAAUCUCUUUCAAUUGUUAUAAAGAUUAAGAGGUUAAUAUAUGUCGGUGCUUAAAUAGUGCUUGGCUUGCAGCAAGCACUUAAGAAAAGCUGCUUCUAUUUCUCUGAUUUCCUUCUUCAGUUUGAGGAUCAGGAUGUGGAAGGGCUCCUACCUGAACUACUCACUUUUGAGUGUGGGUUCCCUGAAGUUUCUGGCUUUCUAAGCCAGGUCAGGGAGAUAAGCAGCUGCCUCUGGAUAGCUGUACUUGCCACUGUCCCUAUGCCCUAGGACUAGGAUAGUGAGGGCAUCACGGUUCAUUCUGCAGGGUCCGGCCUCUGGGGAGCACAGACACUGAGGUGACAUCACCAGGAGGAGCUCAGGGUCACCCUGCAGAGCUGACACUGAGGGUUCAGGACCCUGGGGGGCCUUACCUGAGUCCUCAGCUGGGCAGAGGUCACAGGCGUCUCCCCAGGCAGCACCCUGAGUGCAGCAGCACUCGGCCUGUGUGGUGUUCCGGCCCAGAAGGCUGGAGCAGGGCAGCUGGUCAUUCUGCCCAGAGUAGCAUUCCAUGCGGAUGGGGCCCGGGGGGUGGUCCACUGGCGGGGCCUCAGGAAUACUCUGACCUGUGUGUGACAGAUACCUUUUAUUACUGUCUGUCCAUGGCUCUCUGGGGGCACCCUAGGCUUUCAAUUGAUUUCCAGAAUUUUAUGAUUAUAUAAUAGCACUUCAUGGUGUACAACACGCUUUUACCUGUAUUAUCUCGCGUGAUGCUCUCAACAGCUUUAUAGUAUCACCUCCCUUUUACAGAUGAGGCAGUUGAGACUUAGAGAAACUAGGUAACUUGCCACAGCCACCAGCUAUUAAGUGGCACUGACCCCUGUUAAUCUGGCCCCCAGUCCCUGUUCUUUCUGGUAUACCAUCCUGCCACCUUCCACUAUAGGGGGUGCCCCCAGUCCUUAUAACCAUACAGGCAGCCCGCCUCCAUUCCUCAGCUCACAGCCCCUCCUACCUUGCUUGUUCCAGGUCCUGUUUUCUUUUCCCCAAGUCAGAGGAGGCCAGCUGAGUCAGUCCAGCCUGGGGUGAUAGGCUGGACCUGGCAGCUCAGGGGUGGAGUGGGCAGGAGAGAGUGAGGCUUAGCUUGCAGGCCUCCCUACCGAAGGGCUCCCUGGGGCCCCUGUGAGGCUCACUCUGAGAUCCUUGGGUACCUUCAGUUGGUGUCAGGGCUUCCCGAGCCUCCUAGACGUUCCCUGGCCUGGGACGGAUGUCCCUCUUGUCUUGACAUUUGCUGCUCUCCAUUCCUUGCCCUGCUGCACUGCAUUCCUAAGUGGUACCCCUGCCCACACGGCCACGGGCCCAGCCCAGCCGCCUUCCCAGCAGCUGGAGCAGCAGAAGUGCUUUGUAAGCCACAGAAUAGUCAUGUGCGACGACAACGGGGGCAGGGUAUGGGGGAUGCUCACCUCCAGCCACCCGCGGGCGGCAGUGCCCCUCCUGAGCGUCGUACUCCUCCAGGUCACUGGCACAGAGGCACAGGAAGGAGCCCUCCACAUUCUCACAGAGUGCCGCCCCACACACCGCGAGCAUGAGCUCACACUCGUUCACGUCUGCCAGGCACGAGGACAGGCUUGUGGGUGGAGGAGAUGCAGCCCGUGCCCCCUGCCCCUCUGCCUCCAGCCCACUGGGCAGAUCCUCCUCUCAUCCCCGCAGAAGAAACAGACUAGGUCUUGGGGAAAGAGCAGAAGGGAGCCAGCAGGAAAGAGGAACAGAUGAAUGGAGGGCAUGAGAAGGGAGAGAAGAAGGGUGGCAGGAAAUGGUCACUAAAUGGACAAAAAGGAAGGUCCUCCCUCCGUGCGCAUUUUCUAAAUGGGCCUCUUGAAACCCUAGGUCUCUGGAGAAGCGGGUGUACCUUCGCUAAUAUGGUUGCUCCCCCUGCUGGUAGAACAUGGUCCCGUUUCUCCUACCAGCCUGGUCACGCUGCCUGCUGUAGGGGGGAGCUGCAACCCCACUUCCUUGCCCACUCUGUGAGGACCUAUUAUGGAGUCCUUGAGCAUUUCAUUCAGGAGGAGGGCCCUAGGGCCUCUAUCCAGGACAGCCAAGUCUGUGGAGAUGGGCCCAAGGGCCUCACCCUCCCUGGCCCAGAGCCUGGCUAGCCUGCAGGCUUCUCACCAACACAUUCCCAGCCGGAGGCCGAAGUCUCGAAGCCCUGGUCACAGAGGCAGCGGAAGGAGCCGUCAGUGUUGUCACAGAAGCCGUGGCUCCCACACAUGGUGUCGUUGGCACACUCAUCUAUGUCUGUGGGACAGUAGGGACUAGGGUGUACGGUGCACUCUUGCUCUGGUUGCUGGGAAUACUUGGUCUAUUGACACCAAUGUCCGUAAAAAGUGACUGCUAAACAGGACAAGAGUACUCUAACAUUAACACUCCUCUUCAGGUUUUGCGUAAGCUCUGCUGUUUGGAAAAUAUGCAAACUUCAAACAGCUGCACAAACAAUGCCCUCGGGAGAAAGCAGUUUCUAGCUGGAUACAUGAAAAAUAGGUGCCCUCAGCCCUCCUGCCUCCAACUCCCCAUUCCUACUCACCAAUGCAGUCUCCAGUCGGAGCCAUGUGGAAGCCAGGCUGGCAGCCCAGGACACAGCGGUAGGAGCCGGGGCUGUUCUCACACCUCCAGACCCCACACACCGAGUCUCCGUAGUCCUUACACUCGUCAAUAUCUGUCCCCAGAGCCAAGAAAGGGGCGGAAGUGGGCAGGUCACUGUUUUGGCCCCACCUUUUUGGCAUUACAAGGUCAUGCCCCACAACCUUUGGGGUCCUUGAUCUGUUCCAGAUUACUGUGCUCAACUCAAAACAUUAAGUUCAGGAUCAUUUCUCCUGACCAAGUAGUGAUGAGCGUGUAGGUAGAAAAUUGUAUGCUGUUUAGGAAAGCCCUGAGCUCGUAGGCUUCUGUAACAUAUUUUUUCCCUUACCCCCUUCUCCCUGUGGCAGAGCACUUUUAUGCCUCUUUUUAUAUACAGUCUUCACCAAAGUGUAUUGCAGAAGGUUGUCUUCAUAAGCUGUCUCCCUUGCUCAAUUUGAAGAUUGUCCAUAACUGUUACUUUGUCCUAGCAAAAGACAUGGAACCUAGCAAGGGUUUAAUAAAUGUCUAUUGAAUCAAUUUGGCUUUAAAAACUA